AGUAACGCGUAAGAACUUGCCCUUUAGACUGGGAGUAACAGAGGGAAACUUCUGAUAAUACUGGAUAAGUUAGUAUAUCGCAUGAUAUGCAAAUGAAAGCUACGGCACUAAAGGAGAGCUUUGCGUCCUAUUAGCUAGUUGGUAAGGUAAGAGCUUACCAAGGCGGUGAUAGGUAGCCGGCCUGAGAGGGUGGACGGCCACAAGGGGACUGAGAUACGGCCCUUACUCCUACGGGAGGCAGCAGCG
rnacentral:rRNA from 1 species